rnacentral:rRNA from 1 species
UAGGUGAACCUGCGGAGGGAUCAUUACAAGUGACCCCGGUCUAACCACCGGGAUGUUCAUAACCCUUUGUUGUCCGACUCUGUUGCCUCCGGGGCGACCCUGCCUUCGGGCGGGGGCUCCGGGUGGACACUUCAAACUCUUGCGUAACUUUGCAGUCUGAGUAAACUUAAUUAAUAAAUUAAAACUUUUAACAACGGAUCUCUUGGUUCUGGCAUCGAUGAAGAACGCAGCGAAAUGCGAUAAGUAAUGUGAAUUGCAGAAUUCAGUGAAUCAUCGAAUCUUUGAACGCACAUUGCGCCCCCUGGUAUUCCGGGGGGCAUGCCUGUUCGAGCGUCAUUUCACCACUCAAGCCUCGCUUGGUAUUGGGCAACGCGGUCCGCCGCGUGCCUCAAAUCGACCGGCUGGGUCUUCUGUCCCCUAAGCGUUGUGGAAACUAUUCGCUAAAGGGUGUUCGGGAGGCUACGCCGUAAAACAACCCCAUUUCUAAGGUUGACCUCGGAUCAGGUAGGGAUACCCGCUGAACUUAAGCAUAU